AGGAUAAACGCUGGCGGCGUGCCUAACACAUGCAAGUCGAACGUCUCUUCUUUCGGGAAGAGGAGUGGCGGACGGGUGAGGAACACGUGGGAACCUGCCCUUCAGUGAGGAAUACCGGCGAGAAAUCGCCGACAAGACCGCAUAGCCCUCUCUGGUGAGAGCCAGAGAAGGAAAGCCUCGCAAGAGGCGCUGGAGGAGGGGCCUGCGUCCGAUUAGCUAGUUGGUGGGGUAAGAGCCUACCAAGGCGUCGAUCGGUAGCUGGUCUGAGAGGACGAUCAGCCACACUGGGAUUGAGAACGGCCCAGACUCCUACGGGGGGCAGCAGUGAGGAAUUUUCCGCAAUGGACGCAAGUCUGACGGAGCAACGCCGCGUGCAGGAUGACGGCCUUCGGGUUGUAAACUGCUUUUCUGUGAGACGAGAACGGACGGUAUCGACAGGAAUCAGCCCCGGCUAACUACGUGCCAGCAGCCGC
rnacentral:rRNA from 1 species